CCAAACUCAAGUUGGUUCAGGGAAUUGUCAACAAAGGGACGAGAGACGCGCAACUCCGCUCCGCACUGUGCGCCAGCAUCCCCGGGGCACGGAGGGCGCUGCGGCCCGCCCGGAGACCCCCCCACCCAGGCUGGAUCCGGGCCCUGGGGCCCAGGGAGCGGGUGUGGACAAAUCCUCCAAGAUUUAACUUCCAAGAAAACCGGCGGCGGAGCGGGUGGAGGAGGCGAGGAUGUGUGGCCAAUGCACGCGGAGUGCAAGGCCGCCUAGUUGGGAGCCGCAAGAGCCUGCCUGGUGUGGCAGGCACACGGAACCCAAUCCCUGUCUGUCCGCUGCGGCCUGGGAGGGGAGCGCCGGCCUCACCAGAGGAAGGAGCACGAGGGGAGGAGUUCCGAGAGGAAAUAAUUAGUGAAAUAUUUGCAGAAGAUGCUGGGAUGUGGAUUUAAUUCCGGAUGGACAGUGGUGCUUCUGAUUCCCUCAGUCUGUUUCCCCACCCACGAUCUCCUCUUUCCUUGGCCUAGACACACCAAAAAUAAUUCAAUAAAAUAAAAAUAAAAAUUUAAAAAUCUGUAAA
rnacentral:lncRNA from 10 species